GACCGCGUAGCUCAGUUGGCAGAGCAUUGGGCUAGUAUUCCAAAGGUCGUAGGUCCAAUUCCAACCGUGGCCA